GUGCUGUGAAGGAGGAGUCAGUGCUGCAAGGAGCUGACCAUGAGAAAUCACUGAAAAGGGGAACAAGGUUACCCUACAUUCCAAUGUCAGCAUCUGCAAAGGUGGGGUAGACACGCCUCAGCCUUCUGGGCCUUUGGAGGCAACAGAGACUCUGGAGGUCUGCGUGAAGUCUGGAGAUCCAGGGUGAUUUCCACCAUCUGCCUGUGAUUUGCAAUCUGUCCUGGUCUUGAUGGAUGCCUUGUGUAGGGGAAGACAAGCUGUGAUAGUGGAGGCUGGUACUGCUCUUCCCCACGGAAGCAGACAACGCACUUGUGGAAUCGCCUCCCCAGAAUAAACUUUUAAGUGCUUAUUGAAUCCAGAAAAAAAUGGAAGGAGACUGGAUGACAAAAUGGACACAGUGGGUCAUGGUUUACACUUCUUAUUUCAGGAAACCAAUUUAGCCAGCUAAAUUAGGUAGCUAGUUUCCUUGUGCUAUGUUAUUACUUAAUGGUAAAGAAAAGUAAAGCUCUUAUCAAGAAUUAUUCCCAGACUAGAUUUUUGAUCUUACUACAGAUUACUCCAGCUUAUCCUUCUCUCUUCGUUUAUGGGGGAAACUUAUGGAGGCUCCCCUCCUAAAGCAGCUAAGUGAAGCUAAGCAGUGACACGGUCUGCUGUGCACCUUUUCUGUGGUUGAGUGCAAAUCUCUGUCCUUGGAUGUGCAUCUCUAGUCUCAACAUGAACCAAAGCAAAUUACUCACAUGUCAGCAGAUGCAAUGUGAGUACACAUUCCACAUAGUACUUACAUAUAUAUGUGUUUUUAUUUUCUACCAAAAGUUAAUAUAAAUAUCAGUUCUUGUCAAAACCAGAUAUGAAUUAAUAACAACCAUGGAAGAUCUGGCUCACCCUUGGCAGCAUAUCUCCUCCAAGGAGAGGCAGCUAAAGGAUAAUUCCCUUUAUACAAAGGAGAGGGGAUAGAGUGAUUGCUAAGAUGUAAAAUAAUUCAGUCAUAUCAAAUCUAUGCCAUGCCCUUUGUAUCUGGUUAUGUGUUAUCCAGUCUACCAGCUAACACCAAUAUUUGAAACCUGGACAAGGAGAGGUUAAGCUGAAAAUUUUGAAUUGGGGCACACGUAGAUAAUAAAAAGCUAAAAGCUGUUUUUCUGCUUAACCUAAACUUUGAAAAAAUCCCAUGUAUGCACUUUUAGUUUUAUGCUGUGUGUGAAUGUCAAAUAUGCUUAGCUGGAACAGAAUUUCUUGAAAGUAAUUAUUGUUGUCCCAUUUGGCUAAAUAUACCUAUAAACAUACCACAAGUAGGCAAGACUAGAAAAUGCUGAUAUUGACUUAAUAGUUUGGGGGGGUGGG